AGUCUAACUUGCCACUCUGUGAACUUCACUACUGGAAAGCAACAAAGGCAGUUGGCAUAAAAAUGCGUUCUCUCAGCACAGCUAACGUUGAAUUUUGCCUUGAUGUGUUCAAAGAGCUGAACAGUAACAACAUAGGAGAUAACAUCUUCUUUUCCUCGCUGAGUCUGCUUUAUGCUCUAAGCAUGGUCCUCCUUGGUGCCAGGGGAGAGACUGCAGAGCAAUUGGAGAAGGUGCUUCAUUUUAGUCAUACUGUAGACUCAUUAAAACCAGGGUUCAAGGACUCACCUAAGUGCAGCCAAGCUGGAAGAAUUCAUUCCGAGUUUGGUGUCUUAUUCUCUCAAAUCAACCAGCCAGACUCUAACUGUACCCUCAGCAUUGCCAACAGGCUCUACGGGACAAAGACGAUGGCAUUUCAUCAGCAAUAUUUAAGCUGUUCUGAGAAAUGGUAUCAAGCCAGGUUGCAAACUGUGGAUUUUGAACAGUCUACAGAAGAAACGAGGAAAACGAUUAAUGCUUGGGUUGAAAAUAAAACUAAUGGAAAAGUGGCAAAUCUCUUUGGAAAGGGCACAAUUGACCCUUCAUCUAUAAUGGUCCUAGUGAAUGCCAUAUAUUUCAAAGGACAAUGGCAAAAUAAAUUUCAAGAAAGAGAGACAGUUAAAAGUCCUUUUCAGCUAAGUGAGGUAAGUAUUUUAUUUUCAGACUCAUGACAAAUGUUGGAGAAUACAAUAAUCAUUUAAGGACAAUUUAGAAAGAUUUAGUGAUUUAGUGAAAAUAUUGGUCUAGGUUUCUGUUGGUUCUUUUUAUUGUAUUUUCUACAGAUUUUCAUUUUUCCUUUAUUAAAUGACAAUAACUUUUAUCACAGAGCAUCUAACUGGAGACUUGGGAUACUAAGAUUCUCUGGCAGAGAAGAAAACCCAUUCUUUUAUUAAUGUUCUCUUGGCUUAUUCUUUCCAUAUAUACUGUGGUUAUGUUCUCCAGCAGCACACUAAGGCUAUCUGUGUUAUUUUUUUUUUCUAGAGAGUUUCUUGAGGAAAGAUUAAAAAGAAAAUGAUUUAAUGAUAUAUCCUUUUUUUUCCCACCAAAAUCAUGUUAGCUAAAAAUCCUGACUUUGUUUUUGGUAGACCAAGCUAUCUCUAUAUAUUAUUAGA
rnacentral:sRNA from 1 species